rnacentral:rRNA from 1 species
UACGUAGGGUGCAAGCGUUGUCCGGAAUUAUUGGGCGUAAAGAGCUCGUAGGCGGUUUGUCGCGUCGGCUGUGAAAACCUGAGGCUCAACCUCAGGCCUGCAGUCGAUACGGGCGGACUUGAGUACUGCAGGGGAGACUGGAAUUCCUGGUGUAGCGGUGAAAUGCGCAGAUAUCAGGAGGAACACCGGUGGCGAAGGCGGGUCUCUGGGCCGUUACUGACGCUGAGGAGCGAAAGCGUGGGGAGCGAACAGG